AUCGGAAGGUGCGGCUGGAUCACCUCCUUUCUAAGGAAAAAGUAGAGAUUUGUUUCACUGUUCAGGUAUUAAUCCUGAAUUAAAUAUGGUUUCCGGUGGCGAUGCGGUUAGGGGUAACACCCGUACACAUCCCGAACACGAUGGUUAAGACCUAAUCGGCCGAUAAUACUACGUUGGAGACGACGUGGGAAGGUAGGUGGCUGCCGGGUUUGCUUAAACAGCAAGGAAACUUGCUUUCAUAUAUAAACAUCACCGCCAAGCGCGGCGAUCAUUAGAGGAUUCAGCAAGCUGAGUUUUCUAAUGGUCGAAAGGCCAAAAUAGCAACUUGAAAACUUCAUACAGUAGAGAUAAUGAUUUUAAGAUAAUCUUAAAUAUCAAGACAUCCGAGAAUUAACAAACCAAAAGUUCUUAUUGAACAAACUUUUAAAAUAUCAAGCUACAUUUUGAGA
rnacentral:misc_RNA from 1 species